rnacentral:rRNA from 1 species
UACGGAGGGAGCUAGCGUUAUUCGGAAUUACUGGGCGUAAAGCGCACGUAGGCGGCUUUGUAAGUUAGAGGUGAAAGCCCGGAGCUCAACUCCGGAACUGCCUUUAAGACUGCAUCGCUUGAAUCCUGGAGAGGCGAGUGGAAUUCCGAGUGUAGAGGUGAAAUUCGUAGAUAUUCGGAAGAACACCAGUGGCGAAGGCGACUCGCUGGACAGGUAUUGACGCUGAGGUGCGAAAGCGUGGGGAGCAAACAGG